UACGUAGGGGGCAAGCGUUGUCCGGAAUUAUUGGGCGUAAAGCGCGUGUAGGCGGUCCGGUAAGUCGGCUGUGAAAGUCCAGGGCUCAACCCUGGGAUGCCGGUCGAUACUGCCGGACUAGAGUUCGGAAGAGGCGAGUGGGAUUCCCGGUGUAGCGGUGAAAUGCGCAGAUAUCGGGAGGAACACCAAUGGCGAAGGCAGCUCGCUGGGACGUUACUGACGCUGAGACGCGAAAGCGUGGGGAGCGAACAGG
rnacentral:rRNA from 1 species